AGCCGGGCUUAUUCGUACAGUACCUUCAGCUAUCUACACGUAGAUAGGUUUAUCCCUGUACAAAAGAAGUUUACAACCCAUAGGGCCGUCGUCCUUCACGCGGGAUGGCUGGAUCAGGCGCUAACCCAUUGUCCAAUAUUCCUCACUGCUGCCUCCCGUAGGAGUCUGGUCCGUGUCUCAGUACCAGUGUGGGGGAUCACCCUCUCAGGCCCCCUAAAGAUCAUCGACUUGGUGAGCCGUUACCUCACCAACUAUCUAAUCUUGCGCGUGCCCAUCUCUAUCCACCUCAGUUUUCAAUAAUAAAUGAUGCCAUCUAUUAUAUUAUGGAGUAUUAAUCUUCCUUUCGAAAGGCUAUCCCCCUGAUAAAGGCAGGUUGCACACGUGUUCCGCACCCGUACGCCGCUCUCAAGAUCCCGAAAGAUCUCUACCGCUCAGCUUGCAUGUGUUAGGCCUCCCGCUAGCGUUCAUCCUGAGCCAGGAUCAAACUNUGUUG
rnacentral:rRNA from 1 species